CCAACCUCGCCCCAUGCCUCCAAGAAUAGCUUCGUUAGGAAACGGGUGGUAAUGCUGGAUGCUCCAACUUGACGCAUGUCUUGUUGGGAAAGUGUUUAGUGGCAUGGGAUGGGGUCGCGUCCUAUCAGCUUGUAGGCGGGGUAAUGGCCCACCUAGGCUUCGACGGGUAGCCGGCCUGAGAGGGCGGACGGCCACAUUGGGACUGAGAUACGGCCCAGACUCCUACGGGAGGCAGCAGCC
rnacentral:rRNA from 1 species